rnacentral:sRNA from 1 species
AUUUUAAGUUACGGAAGAGUCAAGGCUGGGACCUCAUGGCAUCAUUUUCCACGGAUUGCUCUCCAAGUUUUUCUGUUCCUGGCCUUUGGAACCCCUUCAUCAUAUUCCGCAGCCGCUCCUCUCGCCGCCGCCUCCACAGCCUGGGCCUCGCCGCGAUGCCGGAGAAGAGGCCCUUCGAGCGGCUGCCUGCCGAUGUCUCCCCCAUCAACUACAGCCUUUGCCUCAAGCCCGACUUGCUGGACUUCACCUUCGAGGGCAAGCUGGAGGCCGCCGCCCAGGUGAGGCAGGCGACUAAUCAGAUUGUGAUGAAUUGUGCUGAUAUUGAUAUUAUUACAGCUUCAUAUGCACCAGAAGGAGAUGAAGAAAUACAUGCUACAGGAUUUAACUAUCAGAAUGAAGAUGAAAAAGUCACCUUGUCUUUCCCUAGUACUCUGCAAACAGUAUGCCACUUUUUGGAAGUGGUCACUGUCAAUAUCUUGUUAUGGUUUGAUGGCCUUGGAGAUUUAAAACCGAGUAAAAGUGUACGGGAACCUUAAAGAUAGAUUUUGUUGGAGAGCU